CGCAGGCAAACCGACGGAACCCUUCGGGGGGAAGCCGGCGGAAUGAGCGGCGGACGGGUGAGUAACACGUAAAGAACCUGCCCUCAGGUCUGGGAUAACCACGAGAAAUCGGGGCUAAUACCGGAUGGGUCAUCGAACCGCAUGGUUCGAGGAUGAAAGGCGCUUCGGCGUCGCCUGGGGAUGGCUUUGCGGUGCAUUAGCUAGUUGGUGGGGUAAAGGCCCACCAAGGCGACGAUGCAUAGCCGACCUGAGAGGGUGAUCGGCCACACUGGGACUGAGACACGGCCCAGACUCCUACGGGAGGCAGCAGUAGGGAAUCUUCCACAAUGGACGAAAGUCUGAUGGAGCAACGCCGCGUGAACGAUGAAGGCUUUCGGGUCGUAAAGUUCUGUUGUAAGGGAAGAACAAGUGCCGCAGGCAAUGGCGGCACCUUGACGGUACCUUGCGAGAAAGCCACGGCUAACUACGUGCCAGCAGCCGCGGUAAUACGUAGGUGGCAAGCGUUGU
rnacentral:rRNA from 1 species